rnacentral:rRNA from 1 species
UACGAAGGGUGCAAGCGUUACUCGGAAUUACUGGGCGUAAAGCGUGCGUAGGUGGUUUGUUAAGUCUGAUGUGAAAGCCCUGGGCUCAACCUGGGAAUGGCAUUGGAUACUGGCAGUCUAGAGUGCGGUAGAGGGUAGUGGAAUUCCCGGUGUAGCAGUGAAAUGCGUAGAUAUCGGGAGGAACAUCCGUGGCGAAGGCGACUACCUGGACCAGCACUGACACUGAGGCACGAAAGCGUGGGGAGCAAACAGG